UUUCAUUUUGCUUCGUAUUUCCCAAGGUACAACAAGUAAUAAGGUCGUUUUUAUUUCUGGUAUUUCUAAAACUCCAUGAUAUUGUAGUACAAGGCAUUCAUAAAACACAUUAUUACUUCAGUUUUACGCAAAAUAAUAAGGACUUUAAAGAUUGAGGGAAAAUAUAGGCAGUGCCCCUAAAUACAGGUGAAAUAUUUAUUUUAUUACAUAUUUAAGUUGAAGAUUACAACAGCUGCAAAACAAAGUGAUAUAUGCACUCAAGACAUGGUUCCUGGGCUGGCCAAGAUACUCCACAACUGCAGGGAAGGGAUUGGCCUACUCGGGGAAAGUGGUUGCAACCCUGUCACCUGGUCGAUUCACCUGGUUCUGAAUCGGAAUGCAGUCGAUCUCCCUGGCAGCGCAGUGGGAUAGCCGGAGGACCUGCUGGCUGCCCGUGACUCAGUCCUUCAGCGAAGGGGCUUCCGUUCGUCUUGCCCAGCGGCGACUCGAAGGGGCUGAGUUAUGAAUAGGUUUAAAAUGUUUAUUUUUAUUUUCCUAUAUGAAAGUGUUUCCCG